GGGUGCGAUCAUACCAGCACUAAUGCACCGGAUCCCAUCAGAACUCCGCAGUUAAGCGUGCUUGGGCGAGAGUAGUACUAGGAUGGGUGACCUCCUGGGAAGUCCUCGUGUUGCACCCCCCU
rnacentral:rRNA from 1 species